GGGUCAGUAGGUUGGUCGUGCCACCGGUACGUACUGGUCUCACUGAUUCCUCCUUCCUGAAGAACCGUAAUGCCAUUAAUUUGGUGUUGCGGGGAAACAGGACUGUUACUUUGAAAAAAUUAGAGUGUUUAAAGCAAGCUAACGCUCGAAUACAUUAGCAUGGAAUAAUGAAAUAGGACGAUCGAUCCUAUUUUGUUGGUCUCUAGGAUUGACGUA
rnacentral:rRNA from 1 species